GCCCCAGGUUGCUUUUUGAUUGGCUACGUAAGUAAUCUAUCAGGAUUACGCAAGCGAGGGGUGGCUCUUUGGGGAGGAAGUGAAGAUUAUUUUGGUGCCUCCUAUCCCAACACGAUUGGUUGAGAUUUACCGUGAUGUAAAACGAGGCGUAAAAAUGUCCACUAAAGGAAAGGGCCUAUUGGCCCUUUUCUGAGGGACGAAGUCUAGGGUGGAACUGGGAAGGCCCAGCCGGACUCUGUUAUUGUAAGGAAGGACCAGAUUAAUAGAAACCCGGAAAUGAGUUUUGAAGGGAAUUGAAGGAAAAAGAGGGAAAUCCGCGGCACCUUCGUUGCCCUCAAACAAGGUCAUUUCCUGCAUGGGAUCGAUAAUUUCCUGUUUUACAGCGAAGUCAGCCAGCCCUGGCUCUCCGGAUUACAUGUGAGUAGCAGUUUCUUGGUUUGGGAGCACAUCAGUCAAGGCUGCUUGUUUUGCUUUCAAGUUUUGGUAGGGGUCUUUUUCCAGAGGCCCUCACCCUACUCUGACUAUUCCCACGGUCCCUGUCUCACUUGGAUCACAGUAUCGAAAUGAGCUCCUAAAGAAACCGUUCAUAUUUGGAGAGGGUGGGUGGAGGUGAAGAGAACUGUAAAGAUUUAUCAAGUUAAUGACGUACAGAAACUGGCCAAAGCAGAAAUUGCCUCUGAGGGGACCUAGAACCCAGAACUAAGGAAGAAAACACUCAUUGUUCCUAAUCACAGAUCCAUGCCCUCCAGCAUGUCAAGAGAAACCAAUGGCAUCUUGAUUGGUGAGAACAUGAGAAGCUCUGUGCCAUAGAAUCUUGAGCCUAAGGAAAAUCUUCACCCUCCUAGGGCCUAACUGCACCCUCCUUCCAAAUCCCCCGCUGUGAAACACAGUUAUCUGGAGUUUCUUUCCUCUCUGGAGGCCCAAGGAACAGCUACAAGGCCUCAGAAGACCAAGAUGAAAGUACCGGGUUAUACCACGUUUGGAAUUUACGGAAAGAGAAGAAAAGGGAAGACCGGGAUAUGGGGGAGCUGGUAGAGGCACAGAAGGGACACUGACUGUUGCUCAGUCAGGUAUUCUAUCUGUCUGGGUUGAUUGCAGUAACAGAAACUAUUUUAAGCAGAAAAGACCUGAAUACAGGGACACAGGUGCUUACAAAAUUGUCCCAAGAAUGAACUACUAAACUCACUCACCAGAGAAGCUCCAGAAAGGGGAAGAAUCAAGACUGUAUCACUGAAUUGAAAGACUAAACAACAAAUGCUGGCGAGGAUGUGGAGAAAGGGGAACCCUCCUACACUGCUGGUGGGAAUGUAAGCUAGUUCAACCAUUGUGGAAAGCAGUGUGGAGGUUCCUCAAAAAACUACAAAUAGAAAUACCAUUUGACCUGGGAAUCCCACACCUUGGAAUUUACCCAAAGAAUACAACUUCUCAGAUUCAAAAAGACAUAUGCACCCCUAUGUUUAUUGCAGCACUAUUUACAAUAGCCGAGAUAUGGAAGCAACCUAAGUAUCCAUCAGUAGAUGAAUGGGUAAAGAAGAGGUGGUACAUAUACACAAUGCAAUACUAUUCAGCCAUAAGAAAGAAACAAAUCCUACCAUUUGCAACAACAUGGAUGGAGCUGGGAGAUAUUAUGAUCAGUGAAAUAAGCCAGGCAGAGAAAGACAAGUGUCAAAUCAUUUCCCUCAUUUGUGGAAUAUAACAACGAAGCAAAACUGAAGAAACAAAAUAGCAGCAGACUCAGAGAUUCCAAGAAGGGACUAGUGGUUACCAAAGUGGGGGGUGUGGGAAGGUGGGUGGAUAGGAAGGGCGAAAGGGAUUGAGGGGUAUUAUGUUUAGUACACAUGGUGUGGGGAGUCACCAGGAAAACAGUGUAGCACAGAGAAGGCAAACAGUGAAUCUGUGGCAUCUUACUACACUGAUGGACAGUGACUGCAUUGGGGUAUUGGUGGGGACUAGAUAAUAUGGGUAAAUGUAGUAACCACAUUGUUUUUUCAUGUGAAACCUUCAUAAGAGUGUAUAUCAAUAAUACCUUAAUAAAAAAUUUAAAGAAAAAAGACUGUAUCACUGAAAUUGUUGAGUUCACAUACCCUGGUUGCCAUCCAGGAAUCCAGAAGCUCCUGUUGCUGACACUGCCACAGCAGCCUUCAGGAGCCACAAAGCUAGAGAAUGGAUGCUGGAACAUGGCUGCAGAAACCCCAAUGUCCCAUGACCACACUGGCCAGCAGCCAAAACAGUCAGCAGAUGACCCUUGCCUCAAUUCUACUUUUUAAGUCUCUUGGGUGUGCAAAUUAAUAAUAGAUCUAAAUUUACACCUAGAAUCCUAGCUGCCAGAGAGCCUGGGAAAUAAAGAGUUCUUAAAGUUUUCUAGCCACUGCAGUAUAGGAAGGCAUAUAAAAAGGAGAUAAAAGGUGGGUCACCCACAUCCAUCUCAGGUACGUAUGUGUCUACGUUUAAAAAUUUCCUUGGUAAUAAGUAAAAUGGAAGGAUUCUGAGCUGAAGUAGCACAAGAAUGAAGCAAAGUCUGUUUCCGGCUUUUUCCUUUUAUAAACCAAAAGGGUCAUAAGAGGGAGCAGACUUUUUUUUUUAAUAAAGUAUCGUUGAUAAAGUUUUUUUUAAUAAAGUAUCAAAGUAAUCUUAUGAAGGUUUCAAAUACACAAUACAGUGGUUCAGCAUUCACCCAUAUUACCAAGUCCUCACCCCCUCCAGUGUGUUCACUGUCCAUCAACGUAGUAAGAUAUUACAGAAUCAUUAACUGUAUUCUCCAUGCUGUUCUACCAUCCCUGUGACCAUCCUAUGUUGUGAUUGCUAAUUAUUGUGCCCCUUAAUACUCUUCUCUCCCAGCAACCUUCCCCAACCCCUCCCCUUUGGUAACUGUUAGUCCCUUCUAGGAAUCUGUGAGUCUGCUGCUAAUAUCCUUCAGUUUUACUUUGUUUUUAUACUCCACAAGUAAGUGAAAUCAUUUGGUAUUUGUCUGUCUCCACCUGGCUUAUUUCAGCAUAAUAGAGGGAGCAGACUUUUUAUAUUGUCACAUAAGGACAUCACCAACUAUCACCUACCAGAACCAUAAUUUGGUAAAAGAAUUAACAUUUUUAACUCCAAAAAAGUAGGAAGGUUAUACUCUCAGGAUUUAAGAACUGGAUAAAUGUAACUUCAGGAAAAAUACUACUUUGUCCUUUCCUUUCUCAGUGAACACUUUGUUCCAAUGUAGCCAGCCUGUGACACCCCUGAAGUACUGUAAGGUCACUGUCCAGCCCUGCUUAAGAGUUGCUGAAUAACCAUGGACAAGUCACUUUACCACUGGGCCUUCAUUUACUGCUAACUAGAAUGAGUUAAAAAAAUGAUAACAUUUAAGAAAGAAUGAAAGUGGAAGAAGGUUUCUAAAAGGCAUAUAUAAUAAGAAAAAAGUUAAAAAUAAGAAAAGCAUUAGAUUAGUAGGCCUCUUAUUGCCUCACAGUUCUAAAAGUCUGUUAUUUACUUUAUUUUUUUUAUCUUCUGGACUCCUAAAAAUCUUUAUGUAGACUUCAGCUUGUAAAUUCCUCUUAUUAUACCUACUCAUCCCCUUCAGUGACCCAGAUUUAAAAAGAAACGCACAAUGUUUUUUUGGUUGUGUCUCUCCUUUUGUUCAAAAACAUUCUAUGGCAACAACUGUCAAUAAAAUCCAAACUAUUCAGUUUUGCGUUCAACGUGCUCCUCAACCUAAUCCUAGCCUGUGUUUCCCACAAUUCCCUUCUCCCCCGCCCCCACCAAAUAGCUGGCGUCACCUCAAUAGGUGCCUUCCUUCCUUUCUUUCUUUAAAAAUUUUUUUUUCUGCCUUGGUUUUUCAGUCACCUUCAUCUUCAUCUCCCUGCUAUUGAGCCCAUAGUAGAGGGUCAGUCAGAAGGAUCUAUUAGAAUUGCAUCACUGAAAGACAACUUUAUUUCUGUUAACAUUUUCCCCCAUUUCAUUGCAAAAAAUACUGAGUUUACUGAACAUCUUCUAUGUGCCAGGCUUUGUGUUAGAAACUUCAACGAGUUCAAAGAUGAAUCAUAUCUGGCCCCUGCUAGAGUGACCCAGGUUGUCCAGGCCUUUCUUGGAUUUAGCCCUAAAGUCCCCUGUCCUGGGAAAACUAAAAUAAUUGAUCCUCUUAGUCCCUGACCACAAGAAAUCAUGAGGAUCUUAAGAUCCUAACUCAGAAACUCUGCCUAACAGCAUAUUCUUUUCUUCAACUUUCUUCUAAAGUGAUUAUUUUGAAUUUCUCUAGCAAUUAGCAUAGCAUCAAAGACUAUUCCUAAUCAAUGACUUUCAUGUUUGUACCAUCUCCUAGAUUAUGAGUUCCUGGAAGGCUGAGACAUCUUUCCAGGAAUCCGCAGUGCUUACUAAUGCCUUAUAUAUAGUGAUUAUAAAAUGAAUGUAUGUUGAAUUGAAUAGAGGAGAAUUUGGACAAAUGAAUACUUCAGGCCUUUUUUUUUCUUAAUUCAAAACCUUUUAAAAUAAAACACAUGGAAAUAUAUUUAGUUGGAUGAUUGUUUUCAGAAAGUUAACAGCACUUAGACCACUUACAGAACAUACCC